CUCUCUUUUUUCCUCAGUCCCUCUAAAAAAAAUUUCCUGUUGUAGAUCUAUAUGAAGAUGAUAAAAAUGAUUUUAAAGUGUAAGUAACAACAUAUAAGUUUCCUCUGUUCCAUAAUUUUCACUUCUUUUAUUUUUACAUGUUGUAGAUCUAUCAAAACAAAGACGAAUCCGGGUACUAAAACAACAACGACAAUAUGUGUGACAAUAUAAAUUAUGGUUCUACAUCUUCAUAUAGGAAAACAAAAAGUUAAACAUAUGGACAAUUUCUUAACAUUUUUUUUUCACUUCUUUUUAUUUUUAUUAAUUUUUCUCUCUUUAGAAUUUGUCAUAUAUUUUUAAAAUUUUAUAAUUAUGAAGUAGUGUAUCUAUUUUUGUAAUGUUUCUAAACAUUGAAAUUAAAAAAAAAAACUAUUAUUUAUUUUAA